CCUACGGGAGGCAGCAGUGAGGAAUAUUGGUCAAUGGGCACGAGCCUGAACCAGCCAAGUCGCGUGAAGGAUGACUGCCCUACGGGUUGUAAACUUCUUUUAUAAAGGAAUAAAGUGAGGCACGUGUGCCUUUUUGUAUGUACUUUAUGAAUAAGGAUCGGCUAACUCCGUGCCAGCAGCCGCGGUAAUACGGAGGAUCCGAGCGUUAUCCGGAUUUAUUGGGUUUAAAGGGAGCGUAGAUGGGUUGUUAAGUCAGUUGUGAAAGUUUGGGGCUCAACCGUAAAAUUGCCAUUGAUACUGGCAGCCUUGAGUACAGUUGAGGUAUGCGGAAUUCGUGGUGUAGCGGUGAAAUGCUUAGAUAUCACGAAGAACUCCGAUUGCGAAGGCAGCCUACUAGACUGCCACUGACAUUGAGGCUCGAAAGUGUGGGUAUCAAACAGGAUUAGAUACCCUAGUAGUC
rnacentral:rRNA from 1 species